rnacentral:lncRNA from 1 species
CCGCAUCUUGCACUCCACUGAAGUCACCCCAACCUUCUCCUGGAUAGUCUCAUUCCGAACUCUAUCUCCUCUAGUCAGUCCACACAUCCAGCGCAACAUCCGCAUUUCUGCCACCUUCAUUUUUUGGAUGUGGGAGUUCUUAACUGGCCAACACUCCUCUCCAUACAACAAGGCCGGACGGACUACCACCCUGUAGAAUUUGCCUUUAAGCUUGGGCGGCACCUUCUUAUCACACAGCACCCCCGACGCGAGUUUCCACUUCAUUCAUCCCUCCCCAAUACGGUGCGAGACAUCCUAGUCAAUCUCACCGUUACUCUGGAUCACGGACCCAAGAUACUUGAACUUAUCCCUCUUACAUACCUCCUGUGCUUUCAGCUUCACUACUACCUCAUUCUCCC